GAUGAACGCUGACAGAAUGCUUAACACAUGCAAGUCGAGCGAGCGGCGGACGGGUGAGUAAUGUCUGGGAAACUGCCUGAUGGAGGGGGAUAACUACUGGAAACGGUAGCUAAUACCGCAUACCAUCAGAUGUGCCCCGAUGGGAUUAGCUAGUGGGUGGGGUAACGGCUCACCUAGGCGACGAUCCCUAGCUGGUCUGAGAGGAUGACCAGCCACACUGGAACUGAGACACGGUCCAGACUCCUACGGGAGGCAGCAGUGGGGAAUAUUGCACAAUGGGCGCAAGCCUGAUGCAGCCAUGCCGCGUGUGGGAAGAAGGCCUUCGGGUUGUAAAGCACUUUCAGCGGGGAGGCGUUACCCGAAGAAGAAGCACCGGCUAACUCCGUGCCAGCAGACGCGGUAAUUA
rnacentral:rRNA from 1 species